rnacentral:rRNA from 1 species
CGAGGAAUAUUGGUCAAUGGGCGCAAGCCUGAACCAGCCAUCCCGCGUGAAGGAAGAAUGCGCUACGCGUUGUAAACUUCUUUUCCAGGGGGAGAAUUUUCCUGUCGAGACAGGGAUUGACGGUACCCUGGGAAUAAGCAUCGGCUAACUCCGUGCCAGCAGCCGCGGUAAUACGGAGAAUGCGAGCGUUAUCCGGAUUUAUUGGGUUUAAAGGGUGCGUGGGCGGAUUGAUAAGUCAGUGGUGAAAUUCUGCAGCUUAACUGUAGACUUGCCGUUGAUACUGUUAGUCUUGAGUGUGGUCAAGGCAGGCGGAAUGUGUAAUGUAGCGGUGAAAUGCUUAGAUAUUACACAGAACACCGAUUGCGAAGGCAGCUUGCUGGGUCAUUACUGACGCUGAUGCACGAAAGCGUGGGGAUCAAACAG